rnacentral:lncRNA from 1 species
GGAGUCCAAGAUAUUGUGGUCACCCACCGUUAGAUAUUAAUCCAAUGGUUCAAAAAAGUUUCUUAAAAGGAGUGCAAGAGUGAGUGAACCGUUGAAUUUACAUCCAACGGUGGGUGAUCACAAAUCCUGUAAUCCAAGAGAUCAAAACUAUAUAUAUAUAUAUAUAUGUAUUAUUCCUCGUUUCAAUUUACAAUACAUGUUUAUAGACCUCACUGACACAUUUCAAAUCCAUUUAUGCUUUUGCCUCUACACUGCUUUCCCCCCUCCUUACCCGAAAAUUUUGAAGAGGAAACUUGGACAGAGGUUAAGUCGGCCAUUUCCAAGAUAUUCUUAAAGAAAGAAGCUGCUCUCCGUUCUCUUGAGUGCUUGAAUCUUAUUGAGGUAGAAUCAAUUACAUUUGUAUUUAUUUUAAAUACAAUAGCUUUAUGCAACUUGGAUGCGUUAUGAAAAAACAUGUAAUAUUUUCUCUUAUUAUUCAGUCUAUUAGUGAGGUUUCUUGGCUUGAGAUGGGAUCAAGUCGUCUAUAUCAACGGAUUCAUGAUGAGUGCGACAGCCACAUAGUUGCAGAAUUGGAAUCUUAAGUUCAGUACCAAACUCCAGAUUCUGUAGCUCUCUUAUCCUGCGUCGACACAUGCUGACAGGAUCAUUCCGAACAGAUGUCGUUGAUCAAUCGUAUUAUGGGUUCAGCCUUAUCUCCUUUUAGAGUAGAAGGGAAACCAACACCAAAGCUGCCUAAAUUGUCGAACAUGGGGUUGCAGCUUUUUCGCAAAUAUUUUUUCCAAUCUCCAACAGUUGAGCCUGAUAUCGUUACUGGCCUUUUAAGGAUGGUCGAUAAGGAAAGGUAAACUGUAUUCUAUCUUGUUUAUUUUAGUAUUAAUUAUUCAACUUAUUUGAUUUCUUCCCCCAUCUCAAUUUCUCAUUUGAUUAGUACGAUAAUCUUGUUUAUUAUCACAUAAUCCUCUUGAUCUACAAGAAAAGGUUGA